rnacentral:tRNA from 2 species
GCCCAGAUGGUGGAAUGGUAGACACGAGGGACUUAAAAUCCCUUGACCAAUAGGUUGUGUGGGUUCGAGUCCCACUCUGGGUACAA